GGUCAUCAAUAUUCACGCCUAAAUUUCAUAAAUUUGAAAUUUAAAAAGUAAAAACACCAAAAAAAAAGCAACAUAGACGAGAGACUGCGCAAAGUAAAAUUUGGCGACUAAACCGAAAGCCUCGAUAUCAUCUAUAUUUAAUGACUACUUAAGUUGAGAAUAGUAUUCGAUUUUUUACACUUUUAAAGGAGGACGAAAUGUGACAUUAUGUUCAUUUUUCUUGUUUGUUAAACUCCAUAACCACCACCAUGCUCUUUUGUUUUAAAAUAACAUUGACAAAAAUCAUUUUCUAACGCAUAUUUGGAAAUCAUAAACACCAAUCUAUAAUUGCUUUAGUUUUUGAGAAGCAUAACUAAAUCAUCCUCUCAAAUACAAGGAUACUAUUUUGGACAGAAUGGAUGGGAUAUUGACAGUUCAAAUCGUUGCGAUACUUUUUAUUCUUAUAAUAUGGAAUUACAAAUACCGUGGAUUAGCCUUACUCCGCAUUANGGUACUGAAAACAUCUAAACCCAUNCUACUCUAUCUUGCGGNGACUGCUUAUCUUUUGCAACCACAUAUCGGGNUU
rnacentral:sRNA from 1 species